rnacentral:rRNA from 1 species
UACGUAGGAGGCAAGCGUUAUCCGGAAUGACUGGGCGUAAAGGGUGCGUAGGUGGUUUGACAAGUUGGUAGCGUAACUCCGAGGCUCAACCUCGGCACUACUACCAAAACUGUUGAACUUGAGUGCAGGAGGGGCAACUGGAAUUCCUAGUGUAGCGGUGGAAUGCGUAGAUAUUAGGAGGAACACCAGUGGCGAAGGCGAGUUGCUGGACUGUAACUGACACUGAGGCACGAAAGCGUGGGGAGCAAACAGG